rnacentral:lncRNA from 1 species
GGAGGAGUCACAAAUUUCAACCACAAGCAAAUGAAUUAAAAUAUGUUCAAAGAAGGAAUAACAAAAUAAAAAGGCAAUACAUGUAGUAGUAGUCGUCGUUCAUGGAUAACCUACUUCAAAGCAAGUUUGCCAGAAUAGCCUAUUUCUUUCCAUUUCAUCAUCUUCCACAUCUAUAGCCCUACUACUACUUGAUACAUCUUUCUCUUCCACGAAACCUUUGCAAGCCUCUGCCUUUAUACUACAUUUGUGUCCAUCACCAUCAUUUUGUUCUUCUUCAUCAUUUGAACUGCUUAUAAGUUCAUCAUUAUCUUCUUCGAAGUAUACUUCUUCUAAAUUUCUAAGAUAAUCCCCGGUUUCAUAAUUGCUUGAUUCUGCAUCAUCCUCAAUUUCAUGAGCAGAAUUUUCUUGGUGAAUU